UGGCAGUAGGAGUUUUAGGUGACACAAAUUAAUUAUUUAAAAUACUCGAAUAAAAAUAAAGAAACACACUGAUUAUUGCUCGUCAAAAGGAGUCCAGUUGUCGCUCGUAGAAUUCGGUAUAGAGAGGUGUUGUCAAUCUGUUUUCGCGGUGCGCCUGCACUCGUGAGAGAUUGUGUGAUUGAAGAGAGGUGCUCAUGCACUGAUGAGAGGUGACGACGCGGUCUGGCCAGCCGGAUUCGCAGGCGGUAAAAUCAAAGGCCUCCGUGUUUCUAAAGAUUUACCGUUAUCCUUAGUGAUAGAGACCCUGAUUGGACCAUCCCUUGUAUCCGGCUUCGUAAGAAACAGAUCACACAAGUGGCGACAGACGGUCACAACUAUGAGUGAGUUUCUACGUGACCAAAUAAUGCAAAUCGUUCCUUUCAUCAGAGAUUAAUGGUAUUUAUUAGAUUUUUAUGGGACUUUCUAAGUGCUACAACUCGACCGUUAUUUAUUUUAUUGAAUAAAUAAGUA